rnacentral:rRNA from 1 species
UACGGAGGGGGCUAGCGUUAUUCGGAAUUACUGGGCGUAAAGCGCGCGUAGGCGGCUUUGUAAGUUAGAGGUGAAAGCCCGGGGCUCAACCCCGGAAUUGCCUUUAAGACUGCAUCGCUUGAAUCCGGGAGAGGUGAGUGGAAUUCCGAGUGUAGAGGUGAAAUUCGUAGAUAUUCGGAAGAACACCAGUGGCGAAGGCGGCUCACUGGACCGGCAUUGACGCUGAGGUGCGAAAGCGUGGGGAGCAAACAGG